UAAAAACCCCAACACAAAGCCCCUUCUCCUCUCUCUUCAUGAAAAGAAUUCGAGAAUUACGCCAUUACAGGAGAAAGGGAAAGCUCCAGUCAUUUGCCUUCAACAAUGUCGAUCCCUAUUAUUGAAACUUAUUACAGUAGUCUCUGUUUCUUUAAUGCUCUCCCUAUCACAUCCCUGCAGCUUGAGCAGAGAAACAGUGGUGGAGGUGAAUCCUCGAUUCCACGGCAGCGUGUGUGUUGCCAAAUCUAGCAAAUGUCACAAGCCACCAUCGGCUCACCACGAUCGUCUUCGAUUCCACAUUCGCAUCUCACCGUUCGAUGCUCAGUCUCACUCUUGAUACCUAAACUUAGGACCCUUUAUCCCUCGUCCUCUCACCACAAGUUGAGAACCGGAUUCAAACUUCUCAAGCAUCUCCCCGUCCUCGAUCCUUUCCAGAUUUUCUAUAUCUGUCACCACAAAUUUAUCCAUACCACAGUAGGUGUCUCUUAGUGCAUUUGCGAUAGCUUCCUUUAGCUCUAACAGUGUUUCAUGAUAUGGAACCACGACCAAUUCAUCUGGCAGUGAUUUCUUAGCCAAUCUACGCUCUUUCACUUGGAAAAAAAUUCUCAAUAAUUGGUCAUCCUCAUCUCUGGAGGGAACUCUUGAUAAUUGUUCCUUCUCAUCUCUGAAGGGGCCAAUCUUGCACAAAGUGUUUGCUGUCCAGAACUGUUUGAAGUGCCAUUUUCACUGUUUCUGAUUCUGGAUAAUUCAGCAAAAGAUUUGUAUACAGCACAGUAACAUUGCAAUACACAUCAAUUCCUGGUACCAAAGCAGGACCUCGAAUUUGCUCUUGAACUAUUUGUUGUUGGGAUUCGUUGGACGUAACUUCGAGCAGAAACCUCAGAAGAUCCCUCAAGGUUGGAGUGAGCAAUUAUUGUCUAAACGGAAGUAUCAUCUGAUAAUUCCUGCUGAUACUGAAUGGAAGAUGCGUCUUAAGCAUGCUGCUUUAGGUCUCCGCGCACACCUCUUGCAUGUAGUGAUCCACUGUAACGGAUUUGGUCAUCUAAUCUGCAUAAACGGGAUUGAAGGAGGAUCCCAAUUUGCUUCUGGCGGAAAAAUAAUGGAUCUUUGGAAUAGUAUUUGCGAAAAGAUCCUUUGACCCCGAAAAAUCACUGUUGAGGAUUUGUCAAAAAAGCGGUGUAUGGAUCUUUGGCUACUUCAUGGAAUUGCUUAUGGGCAUUCGUGGUUUGGGAAGUGGGGUUAUAAGUUCUUCCGUGGAAGUUAUGGGGCAGUGACACAACACAAUUACAGGACAGCAAUUGAAAUUCUGAUUUCUUUGAAAGUUGAUGAACUCCUAUUAGGAUUUGGGAAUGAAGAAUUCAGUAUGCAAAUAAAAAAGAUUACUAGUCGUUACAGAAAUCAGAGUAAAGCUCAGUUGAUCACCUUGAGGGAUCUUCUGAGGUUUAUGCUCGAAGUUAGGUCCAACGAAUCCCAACAACAAAUAGUUCAAGAGCAAAUUCGAGGUCCUGCUUUGGUGUCAGGAAUUGAUGUGUAUAGCAAUGUUACUGUACUGUAUACAAAUCUUUCGCUGAAUUAUCCAGAAUAAAAAAUAGUGAAAAUGGUAGUUCAAACAGUUCUUGACAACAAACAUUUUGUGCAAGAUUGGCUCCUUCAGAAAUGAGAAGGAACAAUUAUCUGGAGUUCCCUCCAGAGAUGAGGAUGAACAAUUAUUGAGAGUUUGUUUCCAAGUGAAAGAGUAGGUUGGCUAAGAAAUCACUGUCAGAUAAAUUGAUCGUAGUUCCAUAUCAUGAAACACUGUUAGAGCUAAAGGAAGCUAUCGCAAAUGCACUAAGAGACACCUACUAUGAUAUGGAUAAAUUUGUGGUGACAGAUAUAGAAAAUCUGAAAGGGAUGGAGGACAGGGAGAUGCUUGAACAGAAGGUCGAAUCUAGUUUUCAACUUGUGAUGAGAGAAUGAGGGAUAAAUGGUUCUAAGUUUAGGUAUCAAGGGUGACACUGAGCAUCGGAUGGUGACAUGCGAAUGUGGAGUCGAAGACGAUCAUGGUGAGCUGAUGGUGGCUUGUGACAUUUGCGAGAUUUGGCAACACACAUGCUGCCAUGGAAUCGAGGAUUCACUUCCACCACUGUUUCUCUGCUCAAGCUGCUGGGAUGUGAUGGGAAGAGCAUUAAAGAAACAGAGACUACUGUAAUAAGUGCAUGCUUGAGAGCAAUGAUGGAUAAUUCUCUUUUUUUUCUCCUUGGAAAGCAGCAACAGAUAUGUCUUUCUAACUGGCACGUCAAGAUAUAUGGUUCUUCUUUUCAGGAUCCUUGAAAAAUUCAGAACAUAAUAAGCCAUACAGAUAUCUUAUAUAGGAUUAUUAACAUGGCGGCCUAAAAACCCAUAAUUGAUCGCUGCAAAGAUGAACUGAAAUCCAGCACAGAUUAAUCCAGUGAUAUCUGUGAAAGUACCAAAUAGCAUUUGACUUGCAGAUGGAUAGCAAAAUGAAGAUCUCCUGCCUCUCCAUCUCCAUGUUACUUUUUGGCGUCUACCUUCGUAAACGAACUCAACGAUGCAGAUGAACAUGGCCCCACAAAAGAUAUCGACAUACUAAUUAGUGCACACUGCAGCUUAUCAGAAGACAAAAGUUGAUCAAAAACAGCUGCCAGAAGCUCCAACACGAAGUUGGCAAUAGCAAAGAGUUGCUCCAAAGUUGCCUGCAAAAAUAAAAUUCGAAACUCAGAUGACGAGAAGCAGAAGUUAGCCACAUAUUCAAAUUAUACCAAAACCUCAUAGAAGAAGAAGAAGAAGAAGAAUAUGUACCUGCAAGUGGCUUUUAACAUGAGCAAGGGUCAAGUCCUCAACAUUCAUCAGCUCAAGAACAUCUUCUGGAUCGCCCUGCGGAUCAGUUUUGUACAAGUGAGAUAUAGACGAAGCAUAUAUAAAGCCUAUAAACCUUCAUGGAAGAAAAAUGAAAUGAUAUGGAGAAAGGAGGAUCACACUUUCAGGGCCACCAAGAGCGUUAAUGGCAUUCACGAAGGCACUAUAAAGUGCUGUAGUCCAUCGAAUCUGUGGCACUUGUCGCCUGCAGGCUUGGGCAGAUUGCGCUGUUCGAGAGAUCUACAACCAAGGUGAGAAGAUGAUCUCCACUGAGAAAGAAAUUCCGGAGAACAAUGUUCAUGUGCACGGGUUCAAACACAUAAUAUUUUUGUGAAGUUAAAACAGUAGCAAGUGAGUUUUAACACAAUGGAUGGUCAAGUUCUUUACAUUCAUGAGGCGAAGAACACUUCCAUAACAUGUAGAAUUCAGAAGAAAAUUUGAAAAAAAUAAAAAAUGAAGUUCAUAUACCUGCAAGUGUAAAAUGAAGUUUUCAUGCCAGUGUAAA